AGCGAACGUUAGCGGCGCGCCUAACACAUGCAAGUCGCACGGAGUAGCAAUACUCAGUGGCGCACGGGUGCGUAACACGUAGAUAACCUGCCCUUAAGAGGGGGAUAACGUUCCGAAAGGAGCGCUAAUACCGCAUAAUGCCAGUAAUGGAGAAAGGCUGGGACCAGCAAUGGCCAGUCGCUUUUGGAGGGGUCUGCGGCCCAUCAGCUAGUUGGUAAGGUAAUGGCUUACCAAGGCAAAGACGGGUAGCUGGUCUGAGAGGAUGAUCAGCCACACUGGUACUGGAACACGGACCAGACUCCUACGGGAGGCAGCAGUGGGGAAUCUUGGUCAAUGGGCGCAAGCCUGAACCAGCGACGCCGCGUGAGUGAUGAAGGCCUUCGGGUUGUAAAGCUCUGUGGGGAGGGACGAAAGACUGAGGUCUAAUAGGCUUCAGGUUGACGGUACCUCCUUAGCAAGCACCGGCUAACUCUGUGCCAGCAGCCGCUGUAAUAC
rnacentral:rRNA from 1 species